rnacentral:rRNA from 1 species
AGUGAACGCUGGCGGUAGGCCUAACACAUGCAAGUCGAACGGCAGCACAGUAAGAGCUUGCUCUUACGGGUGGCGAGUGGCGGACGGGUGAGGAAUACAUCGGAAUCUACUUUUUCGUGGGGGAUAACGUAGGGAAACUUACGCUAAUACCGCAUACGACCUACGGGUGAAAGCAGGGGAUCUUCGGACCUUGCGCGAUUGAAUGAGCCGAUGUCGGAUUAGCUAGUUGGCGGGGUAAAGGCCCACCAAGGCGACGAUCCGUAGCUGGUCUGAGAGGAUGAUCAGCCACACUGGGACUGAGACGCGGUCCAGACUCCUACGGGAGGCAGCAGUGGGGAAUAUUGGACAAUGGGCGCAAGCCUGAUCCAGCCAUACCGCGUGGGUGAAGAAGGCCUUCGGGUUGUAAAGCCCUUUUGUUGGGGAAGAAAAGCAGCAGGUUAAUACCCCGCUGUUCUGACGGUACCCAAAGAAUAAGCACCGGCUAACUUCGUG